GAUGAACGCUGGCGGCGUGCCUAAUACAUGCAAGUCGAGCGAACAGACGAGGAGCUUGCUCCUCUGACGUUAGCGGCGGACGGGUGAGUAACACGUGGAUAACCUACCUAUAAGACUGGGAUAACUUCGGGAAACCGGAGCUAAUACCGGAUAAUAUGUUGAAUCGCAUGGUUCAACAGUGAAAGACGGUCUUGCUGUCACUUAUAGAUGGAUCCGCGCCGCAUUAGCUAGUUGGUAAGGUAACGGCUUACCAAGGCAACGAUGCGUAGCCGACCUGAGAGGGUGAUCGGCCACACUGGAACUGAGACACGGCCCAGACUCCUACGGGAGGCAGCAGUAGGGAAUCUUCCGCAAUGGGCGAAAGCCUGACGGAGCAACGCCGCGUGAGUGAAGAAGGUCUUCGGAUCGUAAAACUCUGUUAUUAGGGAAGAACAAAUGUGUAAGUAACUAUGCACGUCUUGACGGUACCUAAUCAGAAAGCCACGGCUAACUACGUG
rnacentral:rRNA from 1 species